UGUUGCGUGCAAAAAGAAACCAAAGCGAGUAGAACAGCAAGUCGAUGCUACGUGAUCUCACUACUCCCUCCACUUCGGAGUUACGACGGGAGAAGGGAGUUAACCCCGAAUAGGACAACCUCGGCCCCGGAGAAGACGUCUCCCGACCACGGCCAGGCGACCGGAGCAGGAAAACGAUUGGCAUUCAUGGUACCGGGGCUGCAUUCAUCAUCAGCAGUUCAACAUCAAAACAGAGACAGGGGGACUGUACAUUUGGCCUGGUGAGUAAUAUUGAGCACACACCGUAAAACAGAGUAUAGGAGUAAUACAUUGUCUUUAUGCCGGAGACCUAGUGACACCGUUACGCCAGCCCGCGAGACUCCCGAGCGGUGGACACGACACUUUUUCACGUGAAUGGAGAAUGUGUCACAAUCAGGGCAGGAGGGGGGCCUGCGUGCUAUUCUAGGGGAAGGCAGUCUCAUUUGCCAGGCGUCAAGAUAACGUCAGAUCGUGGUCGUUUCCCGUGGGAGACCAAACCCGGUUCUCCUUUGGGUGGCCCACGCCGGAUUGAAAGUCGCCCGCGGUUGAAGGGGGAACGGGAUAUCAUUUUGGAAAAAAAAAAACGACAGAAUGCCUCAUGCCGUUUCACAAAUCAAAGUGUCAAAUUCAAAGAAAUCUCGUUUUGUGAAGGCUGCGUGUCUUCACUCGUAAGAAAGACACGUUUACUGUAAAAUCUCAAUCCCAGUCAAAUCCUUACGGACAAAAUAAUAAAUAAAAACAGGGCGCGGGGGCAUGUGUCAGAAAAAAAACCUUUUCUAGCAGGAAAACAUGCUAACAAGUGCAUAGGAAAUUUAUUCAGGCCUUGUGAUCGUCACAGAGAAGAAGAACCGGAGAGGAAACAUUGAGAGGCGAGGAAUGGUUUCUCUUGCGUAAGCCUUGCUGGAAAAGACCAUUAGGACAAAUGGUGGUGGAGCUCCCCGAGCAUAAUGUAUUGGUUUACCGUUGCAGCCCCAGCCCGAAUGUGCUUCUCCUUCCACACCACAAGGCCCAUUAAUCUGAUGUGCUCUGGGCUAGCAUCCGCAGAGAAAAGAGAAUGCCGGAAAGCUUUCACGGAUCCACGACAUUUUGUGCUGCAGACUACUUUUCUAUUUUGUUACAUCCACAAAAGAUACAACGUUUCAGACUGUAGUCAAAAAGGUAAGCUUUGGACAACCAGCUAGACCAAAAACCACACUGGAAAAACAAACAAACAAACAAACAUUCCAAACCAAGAGACUCGUUUUCAGGGUGUAUUACUCCAGCAGCAAUGUCAUUGCAAAAGUGCAGCCUGCCGAACCCAUGCAAAGAGGCCUUGGAGCAAAGCCGCGCGUAUUUGUCGAGAUGACUUCGAACCGGACACUUUGGAUCAGCGCGAUAUUUGGCUUGGAAUUUUGGAUGCAUGUGAAGCAAGAUUCCAAAAUGGGGCCGACGGCGGUUUUUGCUCUGAUCUCUUGACGGGCAGCGCGGGCCGACGCCGACGCCGAGGAUACAUUCAUGAAGAACGGUGCGGAUACAGACGUUCGGUUCCGUUUACAACAUUUUUUCCCAGAUGGGGGCGGGCUGGCAAAUAUCGAUCUGAACGGCUCAUCGUGACCCAGUCGACAUCAGAACUAGCGUCCCUCGGCUAUCCUCCCAGACAACCUCGCACCGGAGCAGCGUUAAUGGAAUCUAAGUCUCGAUUUCUGUGAAGAUUUGAAAAAAAAAAAAUAACGGAGGAACUUGAAUUAUUACACUUCACAGUGGCCAAGGAUUUAAUACAUUUUUAAUCACGCUAUAAUCUUGGCAGUGUUGACUACCACUUUUUUUUUUUUU